ACUGCGGAAAUUCUGGAGCUAAUACAUGCGACUAUACUCCAACGCAAGGCGGGGUGCAAUUAUUAGAACAGACCAAACGUUUUCGGACGUUGUUUGUUGACUCUGAAUACCGUCGUUUACUGUCAGUUUCGACUGACUCUAUCCGAGAAGGGUGUCUGCCCUUUCAACUAGAUGGUAAUCUAUUGGACUACCAUGGUUGUUACGGGUAACGGAGAAUUAGGGUUCGACUCCGGAGAGGGAGCCUUAGAAACGGCUACCACGUCCAAGGAAGGCAGCAGGCGCGAAACUUAUCCACUGUUGAGUAUGAGAUAGUGACUAAAAAUAUAAAGACUCAUCCUUUUGGAUGAGUUAUUUCAAUGAGUUGAAUAUAAAUUAUUCUUCGAGUAGCAAGGAGAGGGCAAGUCUGGUGCCAGCAGCCGCGGUAAUUCCAGCUCUCCUAGUGUAUCUCGUUAUUGCUGCGGUUAAAAAGCUCGUAGUUGGAUCUAGGUUACGUGCCGCAGUUCGCAAUUUGCGUUAACUGUGGUCGUGACUUCUAAUUUGCUGGUUUGAGGUUGGGUUCGCCCUUCAACUGCCAGCAGGUUUACCUUGAAUAAAUCAGAGUGCUCAAUACAGGCGCUUGCUUGAAUAGCUCAUCAUGGAAUAAUGAAACAGGACUUCGGUUCUUUUUGUUGGAUUCUAGAAUUGAUCUAAUGGUUAAGAGGGACAAACCGGGGGCAUUCGUAUCAUUACGCGAGAGGUGAAAUUCGUGGACCGUAGUGAGACGCCCAAUAGCGAAAGCAUUUGCCAAGAAUGUCUUCAUUAAUCAAGAACGAAAGUCAGAGGUUCGAAGGCGAUUAGAUACCGCCCUAGUUCUGACCGUAAACGAUGCCAUCUCGCGAUUCGGAGGGUUCAUGCCCUACCGAGGAGCUACCCGGAAACGAAAGUCUUUCGGUUCCGGGGGUAGUAUGGUUGCAAAGCUGAAACUUAAAGAAAUUGACGGAAGGGCACCACAAGGCGUGGAGCUUGCGGCUUAAUUUGACUCAACACGGGAAAACUCACCCGGUCCGGACACUAUUAGGACUGACAGAUUGAAAGCUCUUUCUCGAUUUGGUGGUUGGUGGUGCAUGGCCGUUCUUAGUUGGUGGAGUGAUUUGU
rnacentral:rRNA from 1 species